UACCAGCACCCCGAGUGGUCGGGACGAUUAUUGGGCCUAAAGCAUCCGUAGCCGGUUCUGCAAGUCCCCCGUUAAAUCCAGCUGCUCAACAGAUGGGCCGCGGAGGAUACUCCAGAGCUAGGAGGCAGGAGAGGCAAGCGGUACUCAGUGGGUAGGGGUAAAAUCCGUUGAUCCAUUGAAGACCACCAGUGGCGAAGGCGGCUUGCCAGAAUGCGCUCGACGGUGAGGGAGUGAAAGCUGGGGGAGCAAACCGGGAUUAAGAAACCCG
rnacentral:rRNA from 1 species